GCGCCGGUGGUGUAAUAGCAUAGAGCAUUCCCGGCCGGUCAGAGGGAGGUGCGGGUUCGAGUCCCGCUUGGCGCU
rfam:Heligmosomoides polygyrus genome assembly, scaffold: HPBE_scaffold0006602